AACAUACUCACCCCAUUCCAAAAUACUUGUCGGAGAAAUGGAUGUAUGUAGACAUAUUUUAGUUCUAAGUACAUCUACUUUUAUCCAUUUCUCCGACAAGUAUUUCAGGACAGAAAGAGUACUAU
rfam:Triticum aestivum genome assembly, contig: Triticum_aestivum_CS42_TGACv1_scaffold_514930_6BS